rnacentral:rRNA from 1 species
AUUGAACGCUGGCGGCAGGCCUAACACAUGCAAGUCGAACGAGUGGCGGACGGGUGAGUAAUGUCUGGGAAACUGCCUGAUGGAGGGGGAUAACUACUGGAAACGGUAGCUAAUACCGCAUACCAUCAGAUGUGCCCAGAUGGGAUUAGCUUGGUGGUGGGGUAACGGCUCACCAAGGCGACGAUCCCUAGAUGGUCUGAGUGGAUGAACAGCCACACUGGAUCUGAGAUACGGGCCAGACUCCUACGUGAGGCAGCGGAGGAGUAGAGUGCACAAGGGGAGCAAGCCUGAUGCGGCCAUGCCGCGUGUAUGAAGAAGGCCUUGGGGUUGUAAAGUAAUUUCAGCGGGGAGGCGUUACCCGCAGAAGAAGCACCGGCUAACUCCGUGCCAGCAGCCGCGGUAAUUC